CGAGUUUCCGUAUGAUCACCGAAGUUAAGCAGCGUCAAGCCUGGUCAGUACCUAGAUGGGUAACCGCUUGGGAAUACCAGGUGCUGUAAG